AGGACGAACGCUGGCGGCGUGCUUAACACAUGCAAGUCGAGCGGAAAGGCCCUUCGGGGGUACUCGAGCGGCGAACGGGUGAGUAACACGUGAGCAACCUGCCCCUAGCUCUGGGAUAGCUCCGGGAAACCGGGAUUAAUACCAGAUACGACCACUUUAGACAUCUUUUGUGGUGGAAAGGAUUCCGGCUAGGGAUGGGCUCGCGGCCUAUCAGCUUGUUGGUGAGGUAACGGCCACCAAGGCGACGACGGGUA
rnacentral:rRNA from 1 species